rnacentral:rRNA from 1 species
AACGAACGCUGGCGGCAUGCCUAACACAUGCAAGUCGAACGAGACCUUCGGGUCUAUUGUCGCACGGGUGCGUAACGCGUGGGAACCUUCCCUUAUGUUCGGAAUAACUCCCCGAAAGGGGUGCUAAUACCGGAUAAUGUCUUCUGACCAAAGAUUUAUCGCCUUUGGAUGGUCCCGCGUUGGAUUAGCUAGUUGUUAGGGUAAAAGCCUACGAAGGCGACGAUCCAUAGCUGGUAUGAGAGGAUGAUCAGCCACACUGGGACUGAGACACGGCCCAGACUCCUACGGGAGGCAGCAGUGGGGAAUAUUGGAAAAUGGGCGAAAGCAUGAUCCAGCAAUGCCGGGUGAGUGAUGAAGGCCUUAGGGUUGUAAAGCUCUUUUAACCGGGAUGAUAAUGACAGUACCGGGAGAAUAAGCUCCGGCUAACUCCGUG